GUACCAUCUUCCUCUUUGUCAUAUUUCAGUUUUCAUUUUAUUAGGUUUUUUUGGGUGGAUGGUGAUGAAUUGAGUUUAUUGUUUACCUUAAAUUCUGAAAGCAGAAAUGCAAUUAGAGGAAGAUAAAAAUUUAAACACAUGACUAAACAUGGGCAUUCUUGCUGCCAGUGGAUUUAAUUGCAAAAGGAUUUAGGUACAUUGAUGAUUGAUGUAUGUGCUAAUGCUUGCAUGUGGUCAUUGCUCUGAAGCUCCCAUUUGUUGCUUUUUGGCAGAGCAAAAUAGUUAUCUCAUUCGCUUUCAGCAGGUUAUUUUUGUGCCAAAUACAAGUUUACCUUAUUUCUGUUUUGCAUGCUAUUGUACUCAUUGGUGACUUUUCAUCAGCAUCCUGUUGAUUUUUUAUAGCAAAUGCUGGUGUUAUUUUCUUUAUGGUUUUCCAAUCAUAUAACAAUG
rnacentral:misc_RNA from 1 species